GGGAGGGGAGGGGAGAGUUUUGUUCAUGUCUGAGCAGCUUGGACUUAGUGGUGUGGGGACCUGGCCAGUGUGCCUGGCACUGUUCUCCCCUGGGCCCAUCUGCCUGCACUGUGCCCACUCAGUUGAGGGGAGCAGCCUGCCCUCCCCGGAGCUCCCCAGGGCAGAUGGGUUUGCUCAGGGAUAAGGCGCACCCUGUCAUCAAACUCAGAGGUCAGGCCACCCGCACACAUGAACUCCUAUAACGUGCCGCCGUGUCGCAGACAUGAUGCCCUUCCUCCGUUGCCUCCUUUUCCCUCCUUUUCUGCCGAAGUGCACAGAACGGGAGCGGCUUCGUGCGUUCUAGCAGCAAACUGCCUGGGAUGGACUCCCGGCUGGGCCACGCACCUGCCCGUGCUGUGUGCUGGGAAGUAGACACUGACGGUCGGAGCCGCAUCGAAGUGUGGAGAGGCUGGAACCGGAGAGGACACGUGACGCGCUCAGACCAGGGCUGCGAAAACAGCGACCAUUCGUCACACAACAGCUGCUUCCUUAUUUUGGUCACCUAACCCGGGGAGUGACCUUGAUUCCAAAGCCCGUGUUCUUGACUGCUUCACCAUGAACGCUACUGAACUUGGCUGUGAGCUUGGGCCUUCCGGAUCCUAUGUUCCGGAGGACAGAAACGAAGCCCAGGGGGGCAAGGUCACACAGCUACUGAGGGGUGCAGCCGGACUCCCACCAUGUUGCCUUGACCCCCAAUUCCAAAUCCUUCCCCCCAGGGCCCUCUGCCUCACUUAAUCAGCUUUACUGAUCCUUCUGUGCCUGGCCCUGGGCUGACCACGUGGCAUCUAGAAAUGACGGGCCGCGCCCCCUGCCUCGUCCCGCGGAGACCGCGAUGAUGACGUCACCAUGGGAUACUGCGGGAAGGCCCUGGUUCUGCGUGGAUGGGGACCGGGUGGAAGGGGAGUGUCUUCUCCCUCAGAUGCUCCGCUCCAGCCACAGCGCCAGGAUCUCCGAGCUCUUGAGGGCCUCUGCGGAGGUUUAAGGUCCGGGGAGAGUCAUGCGGUUAAAAUACGAACAGGAAAUUGCGCCACUGAAAUUGAUACGUACUGGGGAGUCUGGGUGGCUCAGUCGGUUGAGCGUCCGACUCUGGAUGUCGG